UGGAUCUUUUCCCAGUAAUCAGAUAUCAUCUGAGAGAAGUGACCCUCGAGUCCAGCAAUCUUGGAAUUCUGAUCGUGCAAAACAAGCUUCAUUCUUUCUCUUCUCCCCCAAAGAGAUUUAUAUAUUGUGUUCUGUGCAAGCAAUCCAGUGCGGUUCAUUGUUCCCAGCAGAGUCUCUCUGUUUCCUCCUCUACACAUACCCGGAGACAGGAGAGCCAAUCAGAGAGAGCGAGGGAGGGGCCUCUGCACCAUAUGUUGAGCCAAGCUGGUUUCCUGAACAACCACACAGCUCUAGUCCGGAUGUCUCAUGUCACACAAUUCUCUCUGCACUAGGCCAGCUGUGCCCUUUCCUGCCCUCUUGGCUUCUCCCCUUGUUUUGCAAUA